GAUGAACGCUGGCGGCGUGCCUAAUACAUGCAAGUCGAGCGAACAGACGAGGAGCUUGCUCCUCUGACGUUAGCGGCGGACGGGUGAGUAACACGUGGAUAACCUACCUAUAAGACUGGGAUAACUUCGGGAAACCGGAGCUAAUACCGGAUAAUAUAUUGAACCGCAUGGUUCAAUAGUGAAAGACGGUUUUGCUGUCACUUAUAGAUGGAUCCGCGCCGCAUUAGCUAGUUGGUAAGGUAACGGCUUACCAAGGCAACGAUGCGUAGCCGACCUGAGAGGGUGAUCGGCCACACUGAAACUGAGAUACGGUCCAGACUCCUACGGGAGGCAGCAGUAGGGAAUCUUCCGCAAUGGGCGAAAGCUUGACGGAGCAACGCCGCGUGAGUGAUGAAGGUCUUCGGAUCGUAAAACUCUGUUAUUAGGGAAGAACAAAUGUGUAAGUAACUAUGCACGUCUUGACGGUACCUAAUCAGAAAGCCACGGCUAACUACGU
rnacentral:rRNA from 1 species